rnacentral:rRNA from 1 species
GACGUAGGAGGCGAGCGUUGUCCGGAUUCACUGGGCGUAAAGAGCGCGCAGGCGGCUUGGUAAGUCGGAUGUGAAAUCCCGAGGCUCAACCUCGGGUCUGCAUCCGAUACUGCCCGGCUAGAGGUAGGUAGGGGAGAUCGGAAUUCCUGGUGUAGCGGUGAAAUGCGCAGAUAUCAGGAGGAACACCGGUGGCGAAGGCGGAUCUCUGGGACGGUACUGACGCUGAGACGCGAAAGCGUGGGGAGCGAACAGG